rnacentral:rRNA from 1 species
AGAAUUUUUCUCAAUGGGCGCAAGCCUGAAGGAGCGACGACGCGUGGGGGAUGAAGGGCUUCGGUCCGUAAACCCCUGUCAUUUGUGAACAAAGCCCACGGGUUAAGAGCUUUUGGGACUGAUAGUAGCAAAAGAGGAAGGGACGGCUAACUCUGUGCCAGCAGCCGCGGGAAUACAGAGGUCCCGAGCGUGGUUCGGAUUCACUGGGCGUAAAGGGUGCGUAGGUGGCCGGGUAAGUUUGAUGUGAAAGCUCGGAGCUCAACUCCGAAAAGGCAUUGAAUACUAUCCGGCUUGAGGGUCGGAGGGGAGACUGGAAUUCUCGGUGUAGCAGUGAAAUGCGUAGAUAUCGAGAGGAACACCGGUGGCGAAGGCGAGUCUCUGGACGAAACCUGACACUGAGGCACGAAAGCUAGGGGAGCAAAC